rnacentral:tRNA from 1 species
GGGACGUAGCUUAACUGGUAGAGCAUCUGUUUUGCACACAUAAGGUUUAUCAGUUCGACCCUGUUCGUCUC